CGCGUCCAGUGUAAACGAGGAUUCGGCCUGUUUCUCUGAAGGCGUGAGUCCGCCUCCAUCCACCAGCCUCUCCUUAGGCUUUUAGUCCGCCAUCGCACACCCUGGAAAGGAAGUCUGCCCGCUCCACAUGCCCUGUCACCCAUCGACCUCCUCGCUCACCGAACGUGCCCUACCGUAACAUGAAUACAGAUGCGUAUGUAGCCGCUUCCGGGUAACAACCAAAUGCCACCCGCCAAGGCAUAAGCGGCAGAGGUGUGCCCAUACUAAAGUCUUGCCAAACACACAAUGACAACCACAACGUCCGACCUGCUGCACAGUGCUACCGCAGACUCUGCAUGCUGCCGGUGCCGGCACUCCAGUCCGUAGCUAGCCACGGAUGUGCAUGUAGCCACUUCCGCGGAACAACCAAACGCCACCCGCCAAGGCAUAAGCGGCACAGGUGGACCCAUACUAAGUCUUGCCAAACACACACGACCUCAACCACAACGUCCGACCUGCUGCACAGUGCCACCGCAGACUCCGCAUGCUGCCGGUGCCAGCGCUCCAGUCCACAGCUAGCCACACCCGUGCUGCCCUUCGUAAGCCUGCAUAGUGUUCAGGACGAUUCGGUCAGGAACCAAACCACAAAACCAGGUAUAUCAGAGGGUAAGACGCAAGGUACCUUUCCCCCCAUGUUCAGCUGCAGACACGCUACU
rnacentral:lncRNA from 1 species